ACUGCGCUUGUCUGUGCCUCGCACCACUCCUACCUAGAUACUACGAGAGCCUUUACUCAGGACGAACAUCUCCUGUGCAGAUCUUGUGUAGGAUUCUCUAGUUUCCUACCUUUGCCCUCCUAGCUAUGGUCAUCGACACACUCAUGAUCCAUGGGCGGCCACCACGGAUGAGAUCUACUUCACCAUUGCCAAGCUUGCGCAUGCUAUCGAUCGGCUUACCUGUUUUUGUGCUGAAAUGGAUUGAUUGAUGUACCAUAAGGUUGCAUAGUCCGGUUCUCUUCCUCAUCUUAAGUGUUCUGCUCGCCGGUCCUGACACGUUCGCUGGCGGGCUUCUGGGUUUGGGGUCUCCUCUCCCUAGAGGACCUAGAGGAAGGGCGCCAGAGGCUCGUCCGACAACAUCGGAGGGUCACGGAGCAAGGAGAGAUGGUGGGGGUAUUGCUUAGUUGGGUAGCAGGUGACAACUGGUGGGGAGGGUUAGGGCAGAGGGAUCGGCCACGAUGUGAUUCAAGAAGGGCAAGGAGGAGGGUGGUGACAAUAGAGAGAGGCAGGCGGUGGAAGGGGAGGUACCAGUGAGCUGGUGGCCACAACGCCAGUGGAGGCACCAUAGGCCAUGGCUAGAGGAGGUCAACAGGUGGGGGUGGGUGAGCACUGUAAGGGCGUGAGCUUCUGGUGGUGGUGUGGGGGCAAGAAGGCAGGGGACAAUUUGGAUCAUGCACCGACCGACCUUAGCUUCUAGGUUGAUCAAACCCUCGAAAUAGCUAGGGUUGCAACCUAGCAUGUGGUUGGUACUAACACGGGCCCAGGUUAGCACGCCAGCUACUGCCCAUGGAGGAUGUUCAAGGGGCCUAAGAGCCCACAUGUUGCCUAUUUUCCCGAAUUAAUCACUUAUCUCACUUACUCCCUCUAUCUCUCUUAGAUCUGCCGGGUGCACGCAUGGACAAAUCCAGCUUUAUAAACAAAAAUUAUUCUUUCAUAUGGACAUGAAGAAUUAUGCCCAAAGAUUUGGUAACAUUAAUUUUUGCAGUGGCGGUGUGCUUGGGGUUUCGGUCUUCAUUAUUGGAUCAACAACACCCAGACAAACAGACAUCCUCCAUUGCCAAAUUAAACCAGCCGCAAGAUUUGAGGGCACUAAACGGAAACGAAGUGAUGCCGCUUGUUCAAGUGGCAUUACUAAUUUUCCGCCUCCUCAUCUUGGGGCAAUAGAGCCGAUGCUUCUCUGGGCAAACUGCGCGGAUCGCCUGGGCCGAACAGGGAGCGCCCAAUUGAAGAAUGGUUUUGCAGGUCAAGGGGCAAAUCCGGCACCCUAAUUGAGAUGCGUCGGGGAAGGGGGCCGUUCGACACCAUGGAGCAGCAGAAGGAUGUGCUGCUAGCUAGCCAAGCAUCAAAGCAGCACAAGCUUGAGUGCAAUGGCUUGCUAAGCAUGCAUCAAAGCAUGU